AACUCACUCUUACACCUACAUUACUCAUUCAUCAAAUCAAACGGCUCAUAUUUCUCUACCCCGAUCGAACGAUCAAGAUCAGCUCCGCCUCUCUUCCGCGUGCCGAUCGCUCGUCACGGCUCCAUUUCCGCGCCUUCCCUGCUAACCCCCCGCACACAUCACGCCCUCACGGCCUCACCCCUCCCUGCCGCAUCUUCAACCCCCAACUCACGCAUCGCCCCCCUCCUCUCUCCCGGACUCCCCGUCGUGAGCCGCCAGGUCGCCGUCACCACACGCCGCUCCUCUCCCCACUCGCCGGAGGAACUCUCUCCAAACCCUAACCCUAACCUCCUCUCUCUCCACGAAUCCGCCCUGCACGCCGUCGCGCGCCGCUCCCCUCCCCACUCGCCAGUUUCCUCCACGUCUCACCUGAUCUCCACCUCGAAAUCCGCCACCGGAGCAGCGUUGGGUCGUCGCCCUCGGUGGCUCAUGUCGCACUGUCACCCACCUUCGCGCCGCCACCGGUCUCCUCCGCACGAACGAAGGAUGGCGCUUGACCCUGGAUGAGGAGCGGAUGUCCUGCUCAACGAGAACUACCGUGGAUGCAAUUUUUCUUUCAGUUUUGGUGACUUCAGUGCUGCAAUUUUAUGAGAUUUUCCGUUGUUUGUGAUCAGUAAGCAAGCAUGUACUAAUCAGUUGGUGGCACUGAGCAUGGCUCUUUCUUUUUAGAUCAGA
rnacentral:lncRNA from 1 species